GGCGAGCGACAGGGAAGAGUCCAGCACCGAAUCUCUAGCGCCCCGCGCGCUAGCGAAAUGUGGUGUUUAGGAGGGUCCUUAUUCCGGGGUUCGCCUUGCCGAGUCCAAGUCCUUCUUGAACGGGGCCAUGGUCCACAGAGGGUGAUAGACCCGUAGUGGCCGGUGGCGUCCCUGGAUGGGCCUCUCCUUAGAGUCGGGUUGCUUGAGAGUGCAGCCUAAAGUGGGUGGUAAACUCCAUCUAAGACUAAAUAUGACCACGAGACCGAUAGCGAACAAGUACCGUGAGGGAAAGUUGAAAAGAACUUUGAAGAGAGAGUUCAAUAGUACGUGAAACCGUUCAGGGGUAAACGGGGAAGACUUGAAAAUCCGAAACGAGAGAUUCACGUCUUCCGCUGGGCACGUCAAGCCUGUCCGGGGACGGCCGUACUCCCUCGCUCUGGCUCCGGCCCGGGCGUUGGUGGGUCGGUCGACUGGGCAGGUGCGGCGAGUCCGCGGAGGGCCGCACUUCUCUCGCAGUAGGACGUCGCGACCCGUCCGGAGGCAUGCCUGAUGCCCGGCACCAAGUCCCGAGAUUUUGACCGUCCUUCGGGAUUGUCGCCCUCGGGGGGUGCCGAAGCAGGGUGGCGUUACGGACGGUAGUUUAAGACGGUGUCGGACCGCUCUGCGGAGCGCUUCUGGCCAUUUCCGAGUUGGACGUAGAGUGUGGUCGCGGGCCCUUCCGGUCCCGCACCGCUUCUCGCCUGGCUGUCGGGGAGUGGUUCUGAGGCCGAGUCCACAGCACCCGUCGGCGACGCAUCAGUUUCGAGCUCUUACCCGGCCCGUCUUGAAACACGGACCAAGGAGUCCAACGUGUGCGCGAGUCGUUGGGUGAAAACCCAAUGGCGCAAUCAAGGUGAAGGGAAGUUCUCUUUCCCAGGGAGGAGUGGCGUCUGCCUUUAACCGGGUGGCGCCACGCACUCCCGGGGCGUCUCUUGCUCAUUGCGAGCUGAGGCGCACCUAGAGCGUCCACGUUGGGACCCGAAAGAUGGUGAACUAUGCCUGGCCAGGACGAAGCCAGGGGAAACCCUGGUGGAGGUCCGUAGCGGUUCUGACGUGCAAAUCGAUCGUCGGAGCUGGGUAUAGGGGCGAAAGACUAAUCGAACCAUCUAGUAGCUGGUUCCCUCCGAAGUUUCCCUCAGGAUAGCUGGCGCCCAUGUGAGACGAGUCUCAUCUGGUAAAGCGAAUGAUUAGAGGCCUUGGGGUCGAAACGACCUCAACCUAUUCUCAAACUUUAAAUGGAUGAGAACCCCGGCUUGCUUGCCUAAGGUGAAGCCGGGGCUCGGAUCCGGGUGCCAAGUGGGCCAUUUUUGGUAAGCAGAACUGGCGCUGUGGGAUGAACCAAACGCGGAGUUAAGGCGCCAAAAUCGACGCUCAUCAGACACCAUGAAAGGCGUUGGUUGCUUAAGACAGCAGGACGGUGGCCAUGGAAGUCGGAAUCCGCUAAGGAGUGUGUAACAACUCACCUGCCGAAGCAACUAGCCCUGAAAAUGGAUGGCGCUGUAGCGUCGUGCCUAUACUCCGCCGCCAACGGCCGACUCGGCGCGGUCUCCUAGCGAGGCCGGUCGCUGUUAAGCCUUGGUGAGUAGGAGGGCCGCGGCGAUGUGCGUAGAAGGGUCUGGGCGUGAGCCUGCCUGGAGCCGUCGCCGGCGCAGAUCUUGGUGGUAGUAGCAAAUACUCCAGCGAGGCCCUGGAGGACUGAUGUGGAGAAGGGUUUCUUGUGAACAGCCGUUGCACAAGAGUCAGUCGGUCCUAAGCCCUAGGAGAAAUCCGAUGCCGAUGGGUGCCGUUAUCUCAUCGCCAACUCCUGCGAUGGUCCUGGGUUCUCCAAGACGGACGCAGGUAUGUUGACUGGUGUUGUUGGCACCCUAGGUUGGGCGAAAGGGAAUCCGGUUCCUAUUCCGGAACCUGGCAGCGGAACCGUUUCAAGUCGUGCCCUCAGACGAGAGCUCGUCGGGGUAACCCAAAGAGACCCGGAGACGCCGUCGGGAGAUCCAGAGAGAGUUGUCUCUUCUCUAUAAGCGUUCGAGUUCCCUGGAAACCUCUAGCAGGGAGAUAGGGUUUGGAGCGCAAAGAGCACCGCAGUUACGGCGGUGUCUGGAUCUUCCCCUCGGACCUUGAAAAUCCGGGUGAGGGCUACGAGGAACACCGCGCCAGACCGUACCCAUAUCCGCAGCAGGUCUCCAAGGUCAACAGCCUCUAGUCGUUAGUAUAAUGUAGGUAAAGGAAGUCGGCAAACUGGAUCCGUAACCUUGGGAUAAGGAUUGGCUCUGAGGAUCGUGGUGAGCCGGGCUUGGUUGGGAAGUGGAGCGGUGUCAACGAUCCGGGCCUGGGCGAGGAGAGCGGAGCUUCGGCUUCGUGAUUCUCUGCUCGGUCCCGCGACUUGGCCACCCACGGAUCUUCCUUGCUGCGAGCUGCCGGCUGCCUAGUCACUGGCUUCGGUCAGAGGACGGGCCGGUUGUCU
rnacentral:rRNA from 1 species